UUCACUGCAUUCCUGAACUUCCGGGAGGUGCGAGUGCCGAUCGGCUCGGGCCGGGCUCUGUUUGCAGACAGGGCCGGGGAGCAGCUGGGGGGCUAGGCACAGAACAACUUGACGGUGGGGUCUAUUGAAAAACGAAGCCGCGCCCACCGGGGUGCGGAGGGGAAGGCAAGUGGGACCAGGAAAUGCAGAAACCGACAGAAGUCCCCAGGACGGGAAUGGGGAAGGCACGGGGCAGCCGGCACAGGCCCCAGGGGAGGGCUGGACAGAGCAGAGUCAGCCGCGGCACCGGCGUGUGCGAAGUUCCUCGAGGGUUAACGCCGCCAGCGGAUGGCGAAGAAACACCGUCACCAGCUGCCCGCUCCGAGGGAUAAAAUAAAGGAGUCGGGAUCAAAUUAACUCGGAGACCCAGUUACAGCGUCAGUAACCAGUCAAGGGACAGAACCAAGGUUGCUCAGAUAAAGCAAAGCAAAUUGCUGCCUAGCUUAAUGAUCGCUCGAUAUUUCCUGAACGACGGUUUUGCUGCAUAAUCGACCAGCCGAUUCGCUAGGUAUGGGCCAGCUUGCGGUCUGAUUUCUUGGCUCUAAGACUCAUUGGCCAGAUUGGUUUCAGAGUAGCCGCCGUGUUAGUCUGUAUCCGCAAAAAGAACAGGGGACUUGUGGCACCUUAGAGCCGAACCAAUUUAUUGGAGCAUCAGCUUUCCCGAGCUCCAGCUCACUUCCUCAGACGCAUUGGCUGGAUUGCGUCAUAGCAAACACAUCAUACAGCAAGUUCGCAAAUGAAGUAUAUCGCAAAAGAGCGACCAUAUUCUGCGGCCACUAAAAGCUAUCGCAAAUGAAUAGCGAGAGAAGAAAGGAAAGGACCUGGCGAAGGAGGAAAGCAAAUCCGAAAGCAGCCCAUAAAUGACAGGGCCAGACCACCAGAAAGGCAGCAGUUAAUACCCGCAUGACUGGGCUACUGUUAUCAAAUAAUAAACCAGCU